rnacentral:misc_RNA from 1 species
UCCCGGUUAACCCGGGCAGUCUCACUAGAGUCCCCACCUUGACGUGCUGGUAACUAGUGAUAAGGGUUGCGCUCGUUGCGGGACUUAACCCAACACCUCACGGCACGAGCUGACGACAGCCAUGCAGCACCUAUGUAGCAGUCCCUUGCGGGAAAAUCCACUUUCAUGGACGGUCUCCUACAGUUCAAUCCUGGGUAAGGUUCUUCGCGUUGCAUCGAAUUAAACCACAUGCUCCACUGCUUGUGCGGGCCCCCGUCAAUUCUUUUGAGUUUCAACCUUGCGGCCGUACUCCUCAGGCGGUAUACUUAUCGCGUUAGCUUCGACACAGUAGGGGUUGAGCCCUUACUACAUCAAGUAUACAUCGUUUACAGCGUGGACUAC